rnacentral:rRNA from 1 species
UGGGGAAUUUUGGACAAUGGGCGAAAGCCUGAUCCAGCAAUGCCGCGUGUGUGAAGAAGGCCUUCGGGUUGUAAAGCACUUUUGUCCGGAAAGAAAUCCUCUGGGUUAAUACCUCGGGGGGAUGACGGUACCGGAAGAAUAAGCACCGGCUAACUACGUGCCAGCAGCCGCGGUAAUACGUAGGGUGCAAGCGUUAAUCGGAAUUACUGGGCGUAAAGCGUGCGCAGGCGGUUUUGUAAGACGGAUGUGAAAUCCCCGGGCUUAACCUGGGAACUGCAUUCGUGACUGCAAGGCUAGAGUAUGGCAGAGGGGGGUAGAAUUCCACGUGUAGCAGUGAAAUGCGUAGAGAUGUGGAGGAAUACCGAUGGCGAAGGCAGCCCCCUGGGCCAAUACUGACGCUCAUGCACGAAAGCGUGGGGAGCAAACAGGAUUAGAUACCCUGGUAGUCCACGCCCUAAACGAUGUCAACUAGUUGUUGGGGAUUCAUUUCCUUAGUAACGUAGCUAACGCGUGAAGUUGACCGCCUGGGGAGUACGGUCGCAAGAUUAAAACUCAAAUGAAUUGACGGGGGUCAUAGCUGUUUCCU